AUGAAACUUGAUGUUAAUAAAAAUAGCAACACUAGAUAGAACGCUGGGCUAGGGAGAUGGUCAUUUCUAGAGAUUCAUCAACUGAAGGAGAAUGUAUCUCACUAUAAGAUGAGAUAACUGAAGCCCAAAGAUGAAAAGCAGCUUGCCUGAGGUCACACAGCUAGUAUGUAGGGGAUCUCAGAUUCAAACCAGGGAGCCUGACUACAGAAUUGGAAUGCUUAUCUCCUCCUGCUUCAAAUAUUUAUGAGACAUAUGCAAAAGCUGAGACAUGCUACUGUGAGAAUGCUUUCAGUAUCACUGGGAAUAAAAUCUGAAACACAAUGGCCGGAAAGGUCCCA